CCCCUCCAGAGUCCUCACCCAUCAGCUCUAAACAUUGAUCUGAGUGGCAAUAAAAGGGGGAAAAGCAAAUCUGAAAUAGACUUGGAUUCUUUUUAAAAAAUUC
rnacentral:snoRNA from 1 species